AAUGAACGUUGGCGGCAUGGAUUAGGCAUGCAAGUCGGGGGAAUCCCAGCAAUGGGGGAACCGGCGUAAGGGGCAGUAAGGCAUGGGUACCUACCUUGGGGUUCGGGAUAGCCAUCAGAGAUGGUGGGUAAUACCGGAUGACGUCGUGAGACCAAAGAUUUAUCGCCCUUAGAGGGGCCCAUGUGAUAUUAGCUAGUUGGUGGGGUAACGGCCCACCAAGGCGAAGAUGUCUAGCGGGUGUGAGAGCACGACCCGCGCCACUCGCACUGAGACACUGGCGAGACACCUACGGGUGGCUGCAGUCGAGGAUCUUCGGCAAUGGGCGCAAGCUUGACCGAGCGAUGCCGCGUGAGCGAUGAAGGCCUUCGGGUUGUAAAGCUCUUUAGUGGGGGAGAAAAGCCGCGAGGUGUGAUCUAUCCCAAAAAUGAGCACGGGCUAAGUUCGUGCCAGCCGCCGCCGUAA
rnacentral:rRNA from 1 species